CAGCAGCCGCGGUAAUACGAAGGGGGCUAGCGUUGUUCGGAAUUACUGGGCGUAAAGCGCACGUAGGCGGAUAUUUAAGUCAGGGGUGAAAUCCCGCAGCUCAACUGCGGAACUGCCUUUGAUACUGGGUAUCUUGAGUAUGGAAGAGGUUAGUGGAAUUGCGAGUGUAGAGGUGAAAUUCGUAGAUAUUCGCAGGAACACCAGUGGCGAAGGCGGCCAUCUGGGACAACACUGACGCUGAGGCACGAAAGCGUGGGGAGCAAACAGGAUUAGAUACCCCGGUAGUCCCUGUCUCUUAUAC
rnacentral:rRNA from 1 species